rnacentral:rRNA from 1 species
AGCGAACGCUGGCGGCAGGCCUAACACAUGCAAGUCGAACGAACCUUUCGGGGUUAGUGGCGGACGGGUGAGUAACACGUGGGAACGUGCCUUUAGGUUCGGAAUAACACAGGGAAACUUGUGCUAAUACCGAAUGUGCCCUGCGGGGGCAAGAUUUAUCGCCUUUAGAGCGGCCCGCGUCUGAUUAGCUAGUUGGUGGAGGUAAUGGCUCACCAAGGCUACGAUCAGUAGCUGGUCUGAGAGGAUGAUCAGCCACAUUGGGACUGAGACACGGCCCAAACUCCUACGGGAGGCAGCAGUGGGGAAUCUUGCGCAAUGGGCGAAAGCCUGACGCAGCCAUGCCGCGUGAAUGAUGAAGGUCUUAGGAUUGUAAAAUUCUUUCACCGGGGACGAUAAUGACGGUACCCGGAGAAGAAGCCCCGGCUAACUUCGUG